CUUGAGGAGGAAGCCCCGGCUAACUACGUGCCAGCAGCCGCGGUAAUACGUAGGGGGCUAGCGUUAUCCGGAUUUACUGGGCGUAAAGGGUGCGUAGGCGGUCUUUCAAGUCAGGAGUGAAAGGCUACGGCUCAACCGUAGUAAGCUCUUGAAACUGGGAGACUUGAGUGCAGGAGAGGAGAGUGGAAUUCCUAGUGUAGCGGUG
rnacentral:rRNA from 1 species